rnacentral:rRNA from 1 species
CCUAUCCCUCGUGUGCCUUGCUCCCACGACUAUCCCACCUACAUGCACACACCACACAAACAACACACACCAUACCCUACCACACACACACACUAUAUACACACACCAUAGCCCUACCACACAUACACACACACCACAGACACAUAUGCACAUACCAUACGCCCCCCUCAACACAGCACUCUGCAAACACGAAAGUGGACGUAUAGGGUGUGAUGCCUGCCCGGUGCUGGAAGGUUAAUUGAUGGGGUUAGCGUAAGCGAAGCUCUUGAUCGAAGCCCCAGUAAACGGCGGCCGUAACAAUAACGGUCCUAAGGUAGCGAAAUUCCUUGUCGGGUAAGUUCC